UAGGGAAUCUUCCACAAUGGACGCAAGUCUGAUGGAGCAACGCCGCGUGAGUGAAGAAGGCUUUCGGGUCGUAAAACUCUGUUAUUGAAGAAGAACGUGUGUGACAGUAACUGGUCAUGCAGUGACGGUAUUCAAUCAGAAAGUCACGGCUAACUACGUGCCAGCAGCCGCGGUAAUACGUAGGUGGCAAGCGUUGUCCGGAUUUAUUGGGCGUAAAGCGAGUGCAGGCGGUCUUUUAAGUCUGAUGUGAAAGCCUUCGGCUUAACCGAAGAAGGGCAUCGGAAACUGGGAGACUUGAGUGCAGAAGAGGAG
rnacentral:rRNA from 1 species